rnacentral:rRNA from 1 species
UCAUCAUGCCCCUUAUGACCUGGGCUACACACGUGCUACAAUGGGCGGUACAAAGGGUCGCGAACCCGCGAGGGGGAGCCAAUCCCAAAAAGCCGCUCUCAGUUCGGAUUGCAGGCUGCAACUCGCCUGCAUGAAGCCGGAAUCGCUAGUAAUCGCGGAUCAGCAUGCCGCGGUGAAUACGUUCCCGGGCCUU